UGUAGGUUAAUCCAGAGUAGCCAAUGUCUAGGUUAACAUAUAGCCUAGCCUACUUUUAGGUGAAAUAACCGAUUGCAUGAAAUAAGCCUUUGUGACAUUUGACUUUUUUUUAAAAAUGGGUCUGUACCAGUGAAAAAAAAAUGACGUCCCAAAUUAACAAACAUACCUAAGUGAACAUGACCGAAAAUUAUGUGCCUUUUCCUCUGCAGGCCUAUAGCCUACAUUCAAUAACAUUGCUGACCAGUUGAAUGUAUUCCUUUACAGAUCUUAAUUCUGGAUGGAAUUAUUUGCAGACCUGAGAGACUCAGGACACUUCAGUGGUAGUCACGAAGACCAAUGUGUCCUCAGGUUUUGCUUUAAUGAAGUUGUUCAGAGGGACCUUGACGAAUGUGUGGAACUAUGGAACACUCACAGGAUUCGCCUAUCUCGAACUGCUUCUUGUCCUGGAGGAGUGCCCAAUGAGUUGUUUCACCUACCACACAGAUUUGGCUCCAGAGACUGUGGCUUUGGGGUUGACCUGGAAAAACUGGAUGCAUUUCCAGAAGCAAAUCCAUCUCUGCCUCCAUGUGGUGAUGCAAACAUUCAAGAGUACUUGGAAUAUGUAAUGGAGCACUUCCAAUUACAGCGGCCAGGGAACUGGGAGUCUGCAUCAGAACUAUAUCUACGGCUCAAAGAAAUUAGACAGCUGUAAUUGCACUAUUGACUGUAUACACAGUAAAAAUCAAUUAAACAUAAAUGUUUACAAAACCA